rnacentral:rRNA from 1 species
CGCCUCUUGCUCCAAAAAUAUAAGAGGUCCCGCCUGCCCUGUGACUAUAAGUUUAACGGCCGCGGUAUUUUAACCGUGCGAAGGUAGCGUAAUCACUUGUCUUUUAAAUGAAGACCUGUAUGAAUGGCAUCACGAGGGCUUAGCUGUCUCCCAUCUCCAGUCAAUGAAAUUGACCUCCCCGUGCAGAGGCGGGGAUGAUUACAUAAGACGAGAAGACCCUAUGGAGCUUUAGACCUAAAGUAAGUCACGUUUAACAUGCUGUGAUAACAGUAAAAACUUAGUGAUAUUUACUGAAGUGUCUUUGGUUGGGGCGACCGCGGGGUAAAACACAACCCCCAUGUGGACCGGGGAUAUUAUCCCUAAUACUCAGAGCCUCUACUCCAAGUAACAGAAAUUCUGACUUUUCUGAUCCGGUAUAACCGAUCAACGAACCGAGUUACCCUAGGGAUAACAGCGCAAUCCCCUCUCAGAGCCCAUAUCGACGAGGGGGUUUACGACCUCGAUGUUGGAUCAGGACAUCCUAAUGGUGCAGCCGCUAUUAAGGGUUCGUUUGUUCAACGAUUAAAGUCCU